rnacentral:rRNA from 1 species
UACGUAGGGUGCAAGCGUUAAUCGGAAUUAUUGGGCGUAAAGAGCUCGUAGGCGGUUUGUCGCGUCUGCUGUGAAAACCCGAGGCUCAACCUCGGGCCUGCAGUGGGUACGGGCAGACUAGAGUGCGGUAGGGGAGAUUGGAAUUCCUGGUGUAGCGGUGGAAUGCGCAGAUAUCAGGAGGAACACCGAUGGCGAAGGCAGAUCUCUGGGCCGAUAACUGACGCUGAGGAGCGAAAGCAUGGGGAGCGAACAGG